rnacentral:lncRNA from 1 species
AUCCUAGGAGGCAAACGCCACAGCCAUGAUCACCAUCAGCAGGGAAACUCACAACAUCAUGCCCCCCCCAAUUCAUACCAUGAGUUGUGCAAAGCAAGUACUAUGAAAAUAGGGUGAUAAAGGGCAGAAAUAUUUAGAGGGAAGCUGUGUGUUUAUCUGCUGAUUUUCCUCUUUUCCACUGCAACCUUUAAAGGCCAGCAACACGAUCCCAUACUAAUGUCAACCAAUGAAUCCAGUGUUUCAGGUAAAUAAAUAACAGUACUUGGUAAAAGUUGGAAACUGUUACAGAUACAGGAUCCUAGUUAGGAAAUAACUUGGCAAUUUUCUUCCUUUUUUUUUUUUUAAUGAACUGUUUGUUACAGGUAGAGAAGGAGUCACAGUCAGGAAAUGUUGACAACCUCAUUAAAAACACAAGAGCCACCACAGAGUCUCCAGAAAGAAAGAAGAAGAUUCAUUGUGCGACUGUAUGGCUGUGUGUACUUUAUCUAUUGGGUUUUCUUUUUCCCCAUUGCAACCUUUAAGGGCUAGGAUUGUCAAACUCAACUGCGAAUUCCCAGCCAGCCCUGCUUCUGCACCUUUAACAACCUUACAAAUUGUAGAAAUCAGCUGGGGUAAUUGUACAGCAUGUGAAUCAAUAUGAUACCUUGCUAAGGCUCACCUGCCACCUUCAUUAAAUAUAUUUAGGCACUAGGCAGAACCAUUCCUCUUCUCCUAGAUCUUUGACUCAUUAAAUAAUCUAUGGUCUUUUAAACAGCAUUUGUGUGGGGAAGGGUAUUAGGUUUUUUGUUAUGUAUUUUUGUGUUUUUAUAUUGUAAACUGCCCUGUGAUCCUCGGAUGAACGUUUAGAAAUUUAAUAAAUGAACCAGGAUUAUAAGAGGACACAGCAGUAAAAGUUUGUGACCCCAUUAAACAAGAGCCUUGUUCGGGGGGGGGGGGGGAGUUAUGAUUUCUAACCUUAUUUCACUUAAUAAACUAUCCACUCAAUGGGCAUAAGUUAAGUUACUUGUGAAUUCUUGCCUUUCUAAAUAGAGUGCGAUCUCAUAAUAAAGAGGAUAUUUCUUCCUUUAAUUUUCCCUUUUCAAUUUUCCUUUUCAAUUUCAGGUUUGUUGGAUGAGGAAGUUGUAGCCAUAGCAUCCUCAAAAGUAAUGAAAUUAAAACUAAAUACCUGAUAGGAUACCGUACCGUAUCAAUAUUGCCUAAAUAAUAUUUCUGUUGAUGGUGUGGCCUUUAAUAGCUAUAGUUUUCAAGCAUUCUGGAGCUUGAAUGAAAAUAGAAAGCCCUUAACUCAACAUGUUGAACAUGUUGUUUUUUUAAAAAAAAUUGCACAUAGUCCUUUUUUGAUUUAAGAAAGAAAACAAAGUCCUAGUAUUCAUAUUUUGAUAAAAGUGUCUUGAAUGCAAUAUAUAAAAACUGUCAUGGGCAGGGGGGGAUGGUACUCCACAUUGUCACACACACAAAAAUCACUUAAUCUUUGUUGACUAACCAGAUUAUUUUCAAGCUAUGCUUCCCCCCCCCAAAAAAAGAAGUCUUGGUAUAAUGAAUAUUCUUUUCUGUAACCAUUAUUAUAUUCAAACUCUGUAGCUUUGAGAAAAGAUAGAAGUAAAGAGAAACACAUACUAUGUUUAAGUCAAGGACAGACUUAAUUUAGCAGUCUUCAUGAAGACUUUAACUUUUUGUGUUUUCCAUACAGCCAUCAAAGAGAAAUCUUGCUUUGUCAGGAACCUUUUUUUUUUUUUUUUUAAAGGCUAUGGAAACAGAGCUCCAUUUACUUCUGAAACUCCACUGGGCAUGGCUAUCAAGCACAUACUAGCUAGAUCCAAAGGGUUUUCCAUGUGUUGAGGACUUUCCAAGGAACUCAGCUCCACCAUGCCAUAUCAAAGCUCAGCUUUAAGUUCAGGAGGAUUACGCUGGGGCAGUAUUUGAUUUGUGCACAGGGCUCCCACUGAAAGUAAUGAACCCUCUGCAAGCACUUGAUCCACUAGGUGGAUGGAUCUUGGCUAUUUAGCUAUGGCUUGUGACAGUGGUGAGUGAGCAUUGCAAAAUAACACUGGGCAAUUGCAGGCUAGACCAGCAGUUAUUUUCCACUCGUUUUUAUGAUAAAUAAUAACAGCAUAACAAAUAAAGAGAAAAUAGGUAUCUAAUAGAACUGACAUUGUACGUUAUUGACCCAGGCUGGCAAUAACAAAAUCUGUUGUUAUUGCAGGUGCCUUUGUUUGUGAUCCCUGCAGAGAGAGUAAGCAUAACCACCCUUCCCUGUUGUUUCUUUCUGAUUUAUCUAGAACUCUGAACAAUUUGUUAAUCACAGGAUAUUAUUUAAUCAGCAGGGCAAAUAGUAUGUGGGUGUUAAAAAGUAUUUCUGAACAAUACAUAAUUGAGCUGGGAGAAGCAAAGCAAAACAGAAUAAAAAAGAGCUGAACUGGGUGGUUAAUUUUUGUGUUAAGCUUUUUGCAUGUUAGUGGCUGCUUCAAACACUCUCAGUUCCCUGCCCAGAAAGUACUUUCAUGGAGGCAGGGUAGCUUGUAAAGUGUGAGGAUCACAUGUACAUUGUGUGUGUGUGUGUGUGUGUGUGUGUCUGUGUUCGUGCGCGUGUGUGUGUGUGUAAGUGUAAUACUUGCUUGGCAUCUCAGCAUGAGAACACAGCGAUGAUUUAAUGAUCAUUAUCUGUUAUCUUCAUGUGCAGAAUCUGAAUCUGAUAUUUCAGGCACACUGGCGGAGGAAGAAGGGGCAGAGGGAGAUCAUCGCCCCCGGCACCACGAUUCCGGUGGGGUGCCAUUGUGGCUGCCCCCACCCCACACUGGGCGCCAUGCCCCCAGGACAUGCGCCAUGCCCCUGCCUGCUCUACGCCCCCCGGUGCCGGAGCAUGAAGCUCUGCCACUGGUCAGACAGAUGGACUGGCUUAUGUGGAGCACCCUGAGUAAACCUAUUUGCAAAGGUGACCUGCAGGCUCUCAAGUAGUGAUAGGAUACCCCACAGUUGCAGCAGGUUACCUGAGCCGUAAAGAUGUUUGCUGUGCCUUGGAAGGUGGAUUUCCACCUUGAGGAGAUGUCAGCUGCUUCCUGCUGCAAUGCUUCUUGAGCACAUGUACUCUUUCUGUGGAAAGGUUCUCUUUCUCCAUUUGUAUGGCAAGUCUUUCAGGCAUUUCAUUUGCUUGAGCAUUGCACGCCUGGC